UACGAACUGUGCGAACAUUAUUCGGAAUCACUGGGCUUACAGGGUGCGUAGGCGGCUUGUUAAGUAGGGUGUGAAAGCCCCCGGCUCAACCGGGGAAUUGCGCCCUAAACUGGCGAGCUGGAGUGAGAUAGGGGUGUGUGGAACUUCCGGUGGAGCGGUGAAAUGUGUUGAUAUCGGAAGGAACGCCGGUGGCGAAGGCGACUCGCUGGACAGGUAUUGACGCUGAGGUGCGAAAGCGUGGGGAGCAAACAGG
rnacentral:rRNA from 1 species